rnacentral:rRNA from 1 species
CGUGAGGAACCUGCCUUCCAGAGGGGGACAACAGUUGGAAACGACUGCUAAUACCGCAUGACGCAUUGGUGUCGCAUGGCACUGAUGUCAAAGAUUUAUCGCUGGAAGAUGGCCUCGCGUCUGAUUAGCCAGUUGGUGAGGUAACGGCCCACCAAGGCGACGAUCAGUAGCCGGACUGAGAGGUUGGCCGGCCACAUUGGGACUGAGAUACGGCCCAGACUCCUACGGGAGGCAGCAG